AACGAACGCUGGCGGCAUGCCUAACACAUGCAAGUCGAACGAGACCUUCGGGUCUAGUGGCGCACGGGUGCGUAACGCGUGGGAACCUGCCCUUAGGUUCGGAAUAACUCCCCGAAAGGGGUGCUAAUACCGGAUAAUGUCUUCGGACCAAAGAUUUAUCGCCUUUGGAUGGGCCCGCGUUGGAUUAGCCAGUUGGUAGGGUAAAAGCCUACCAAGGCGACGAUCCAUAGCUGGUCUGAGAGGAUGAUCAGCCACACUGGGACUGAGACACGGCCCAGACUCCUACGGGAGGCAGCAGUAGGGAAUAUUGGACAGUGGGCGAAAGCCUGAUCCAGCAAUGCCGCGUGAGUGAUGAAGGCCUUAGGGUUGUAAAGCUCUUUUACCCGGGAUGAUAAUGACAGUACCGGGAGAAUAAGCUCCGGCUAACUCCGUG
rnacentral:rRNA from 1 species